UACGUAGGGUGCGAGCGUUAAUCGGAAUUACUGGGCGUAAAGCGUGCGCAGGCGGUUGGUCAAGUCAGAUGUGAAAGCCCCGGGCUUAACCUGGGAACUGCGUUUGAAACUGACCGGCUAGAGUUUGGCAGAGGGGGGUGGAAUUCCACGUGUAGCAGUGAAAUGCGUAGAGAUGUGGAGGAACACCGAUGGCGAAGGCAGCCCCCUGGGCCAGAACUGACGCUCAUGCACGAAAGCGUGGGGAGCAAACAGG
rnacentral:rRNA from 1 species